rnacentral:lncRNA from 1 species
GUGCAGGAGACAUACUCAUGUCCUCACCUCUCAAAUCAAGUAUGAAAGUUUGUCUUAAAUAUUUGAUUAAUUGUGAAAUUAGAAUAGUGCCAUUGUGACAUAGAAGAUUUAUCAUGCGGUUUGGACAAAUGAUAAAAUGCCUUUUAUUUUCUGCAGGUUUUACAGAGGAAAAUAAAGAGAGGACCCUGAGAUUCUCAAAAAGGAGAAGAAUUUGUUGAACAAUUAGUCUCCCACACUGGAUGGUCCCUAAGCUAUCCUUGGACGUACAUGCCCCUAAGAAGGGCAUGUUAGUUCCUAUAGUUAUAUGGUUAUUUCAGCCUCUGAAAUAAAGGCUCUGGGAGAAAGCCUGGUAGCACGCGCAGGGCAAAGAGGGGAAACGAUGAAGCAGACAUGAGAGGAAAUGCCAGAGCAAGACUUGGUGAAGAGAAGGGAUCCAGCACCCAAGGCGAGAGGGUGGUCCUUGCUGAGAGCGCACUUGUUUAUUCUAAUAGUGACAAGAGAGAAAGAGGAAGCAAUGGCGCCUUGGCGGGAGGUGGACAGGUGUAUUUGUCAUGCAGACGAGCUCUCCUCACUCUCUCCAACUCCAGCUACAAACCUGGAAAUUCUUAUUUCAGGAGGAAAGAAUUGUUGAACAAGUGCCAAAGAUUUCAAAAGCAUCAUUCUGCUAAUUCUUGUGCAGAUGACAAAUGGACAAGUUAUCAAGCACUGUGGAGAAAUCUCCAUGACUGCAGACUGAAGAAAGUAAUUUGAUAUUUUGCAUUGUCACCUGGGUGCCUCUCCCUGCUGGCUCGGGAUGUCGUUUCCCAGCUCUGUUUGACAGAGCGGUCUACUGCCUGUUGGUCUUUGUUUCAAGGAGGAGCAGGCUGUUGCCUGGAUUAAAUUUAUUAAAGAAUUAC